AAUCUCUCCCUCUCUCUCAAAGAACAAUGGCAAGCAGCAACGUCGAAGAAGAGGAAGUUGCAUCAGAAGUAGAAGCGGUGCAAGUAGUGUACGGAGAUGAUUGCAUGGUUCUCCAAUCCUAUCCUCCCCACCUCCACCUCCUCCUCAAGCCUCGCACUGCCGACGUCACCUCCUAACAGAGAUGAAGUAGAAUCUUUCUUCAAUCUAGAGUCUCUAAUUUCAUCAAAGCAAAGACUUUCAGUUGUGUUAUAUUGAUCCUGGAGUUUCCAAUGGGGAGGAGAUGCAACCACCGAAGAGAAUAUAUAGUGCACAACUAUAAAGUAUUGUGUUCUCUGUUAGUGCUUCUUUUAGGUCCAAGAAAAUCCUCUCAGCUCCAAAAACUUUUUGCAAAUUAAACCCAUUAGUCAAGAAAAGUGAUGCUUAUCUAAGUUCUGAAGAAUAAAUUCAUUGAAAUGGUUCAUGGUCAUCAUGGACGGAUUUUUUUGGAAAAUUUCAUUAAUAAUUGAGAAGUUUCUAAUGCAUAUUUAUACAGUGCAAUUGAUUAGGUAGAUUAGGUAAUGAUAAUCAUGAAUUAACUAAAAAUUGCCAUAAUGAUUAUUAUUGCUUAAAAGCUAAUCCAUAUUUAAUAUACAUUUCAGUUGAUUUAAGGCUCAUCUAGAUCUAUUAUUGCUUAAAUUCUAUGAAAUUUUUGUGGUUUUAGAUAGUGCAAUUGGUAUGGAUGCUUGACUUUUAUACCCAACUUUAAUGGCUACAUUAUAGUGAUUUUUAGUUACUUAAGUUGAAUACCUAUAUUUAUCCUAGCCGGAGACAAAUGAUUUAUUAUUUGGGUAGAGAAUAAAAGGAUGAUUCAAAGAGCUACAAAGAUAGGAUAGCAACAGAUUGGUAAUUGAAUUAAAAAUUGGCAUGCAUAAUUAUAUUAGAAAUGCGUUAGAUUUAAUAGAUUGCUUGGUCAAUUAGGAAUCACACCAAAGCACUAGAUGGAAUUAAAUAUGUGUGUGUGUGUGUGUGUGUGUGUGUGUGUGUGUGUGUGUGUGUGUGUGUGUGUGUGUUACAUUUGUGUUUUAACAUUUGAUAGCAGUACAAUGCUUACAGCAGAAGUUGUUUUUGGGUUUGAAUCUUAAAGAUAUGUAACUAUAAAUAUCUUUCUUAAUAGUUCAAUGAUUGAUGUCUAAAUCAAUUGAAAACAAUUAUAAAGAAUUAGGUAGAUGAUAAAGAGUAAAGCACCCUGCAGUCUGCAUUGCUCUAAACCAGGAAAGGGAUUUCAAUUGGAUUAAUAUGCAUGUUGCAGGAAGUGCAAGAAUACAAAGAGGAAAGCUUUAAGACAAAUAGCUCAAACUCAACAACAAAAGUAAGAUGGAAUCCAAAAUUUCUCUCUGAUGUUUUCUUUUAGAAUGUAUGGAAUUAUUAUGUUGUACAUUGAGGACAUUUUUAUUGUAUUAUGAAGUAACUAUUCAAUUUAUUUGUUUUUAUUGUCUGCAAAAAAAAUUGUCUAACAGUAUAUGGAGUUAUGGUAUUUUUUGUGGUGUUAAAGUGAUAGAAUGACUUUGUAUAUAUGAAAGUAGAGACUUCAUCUUUACAUAGUCUAAAAUUUUGCCAGUUGGU